AGUGAACGCUGGCGGCGUGCUUAACACAUGCAAGUCGAACGAGAACGGAAUAUAGCUUGCUAUAUUUGUCAGCUAAGUGGCGCACGGGUGAGUAAUGUAUAGAUAACCUGCCCUUAAGAAAGGAAUAACAGUUGGAAACGACUGCUAAUGCCCUAUAUGCCUUUAAUACAUAAGUAUGCAAGGGAAACGCUUUAGUGCUUAAGGAUGGGUCUGUAUGGUAUCAGCUUGUUGGUGAGGUAAUGGCUCACCAAGGCUAUGACGCCUAACUGGUUUGAGAGGAUGAUCAGUCCCACUGGAACUGAGACACGGUCCAGACUCCUACGGGAGGCAGCAGUGGGGAAUAUUGCACAAUGGACGAAAGUCUGAUGUAGCAACGCCGCGUGGAGGAUGACACAUUUCGGUGCGUAAACUCCUUUUAUAUAGGAAGAUAAUGACGGUACUAUAUGAAUAAGCACCGGCUAACUCCGUGCCAGCCGCCGCAGUAAAAC
rnacentral:rRNA from 1 species